GACGAACGCUGGCGGCGUGCUUAACACAUGCAAGUCGAACGGAAAGGCCCUGCUUUUGUGGGUUGCUCGAGUGCCGAACGGGUGUGUAACACGUGAGUAACCUGCCCUUGACUUUGGGAUAACUUCAGGAAACUGGGGCUAAUACCGGAUAGGAGCUCCUGCUGCAUGGUGGGGGUUGGAAAGUUUCGGCGGUUGGGGAUGGACUCGCGGCUUAUCAGCUUGUUGGUGGGGUAGUGGCUUACCAAGGCUUUGACGGGUAGCCGGCCUGAGAGGGUGACCGGCCACAUUGGGACUGAGAUACGGCCCAGACUCCUACGGGAGGCAGCAGUGGGGAAUAUUGCACAAUGGGCGGAAGCCUGAUGCAGCAACGCCGCGUGCGGGAUGACGGCCUUCGGGUUGUAAACCGCUUUCGCCUGUGACGAAGCGUGAGUGACGGUAAUGGGUAAAGAAGCACCGGCUAACUACGUG
rnacentral:rRNA from 1 species